rnacentral:rRNA from 1 species
GAUGAACGCUGGCGGCGUGCCUAAUACAUGCAAGUCGAGCGAACGGACGAGAAGCUUGCUUCUCUGAUGUUAGCGGCGGACGGGUGAGUAACACGUGGAUAACCUACCUAUAAUACUGGGGUAACUUCGGGAAACCGGAGCUAAUACCGGAUGAUAUUUUGAACCGCAUGGUUCAAAAGUGAAAGACGGUCUUGCUGUCACUUAUAGAUGGAUCCGCGCUGCAUUAGCUAGUUGGUAAGGUAACGGCUUACCAAGGCAACGAUGCAUAGCCGACCUGAGAGGGUGAUCGGCCACACUGGAACUGAGACACGGUCCAGACUCCUACGGGAGGCAGCAGUAGGGAAUCUUCCGCAAUGGGCGAAAGCCUGACGGAGCAACGCCGCGUGAGUGAUGAAGGUCUUCGGAUCGUAAAACUCUGUUAUUAGGGAAGAACAUAUGUGUAAGUAACUGUGCACAUCUUGACGGUACCUAAUCAGAAAGCCACGGCUAACUACGUG